AAUAAAGGUCAAACUUUUAAUUUUGCUCCAAUAACAAUUUAGGAUGUCCAAAAAUCUCUUAAAGCUAUACAGACCACCAGAUGGRGUACAAUCCAGUGGCAGUGAGGGAAUCCAGAGGAGGGACAGAUCUGCAGGUGGAGUGAGUGACAGGAAGUGGAYGCUUUUGUGCUCUGAAUAAUAAUCUUUCCAGGACUGUGGGUUGGUGGAAAAGUGGUGGAGGGUGGCUGAKUAAUGGCACUGAUGCACCGGAAUUCUUUUUUUCCAGGAAAACCAUUUAAGGAGCAGAGAGGAGCGCAAUGGAGAUGAGCCAACAAGCUGAACAUGAAGCAGGACGUACCAGAGGAGAGGCUGGGGAACAGUCUGGUCAAUGAGGGAUCCAAGGAGCAUGCACUGCAAAAGAGAGGGACAAUCAGCGAUAAAGAAAAGGACACUUAUAGGAAAACUGCUCCUUCCUAAAGCUGAUAGUGAACACCAGCUGGAUCCCAUCAUGACUGCGCAGARUGAGGAACGCAGGAAAACACUCCUGCAUGCAACUCUGCAGAGCUAACACAAGGUGUGUUGGACUUCCUGCUUUUCGUAAUUUCUUUUAAUAUUUGUUUUUUGAAUGUUUUUGUUUUUGAUGUUUUAAUUUGCUUGGUUUACUGUGAUGUGGGAACUAUGUGCUGUAUUUGCUGCUGCCCAUUGGCCAAGUUUUUGGUGAGGAAAAAGCAAAGUUUUUUUUAAUCUGUUGACAUUUACAUGGUCAGAUACAAGCCUACAUAUUAUUGCUUAGCGUUGUUUGUGAAUGUGAUAAAAUUCAAAUAUCAAAUUUUCAACAAAACUUA